rnacentral:rRNA from 1 species
CAUGCAGUCGAGGGGUAGAGCUCUUCGGAGCUUGAGACCGGCGCACGGGUGCGUAACGCGUAUGCAAUCUACCUUUUACAGAGGGAUAGCCCAGAGAAAUUUGGAUUAAUACCUCAUAGCAUAGCAGCUUCGCAUGAAGCCACUAUUAAAGUCACAACGGUAAAAGAUGAGCAUGCGUCCCAUUAGCUAGUUGGUAAGGUAACGGCUUACCAAGGCUACGAUGGGUAGGGGUCCUGAGAGGGAGAUCCCCCACACUGGUACUGAGACACGGACCAGACUCCUACGGGAGGCAGCAGUGAGGAAUAUUGGACAAUGGGCGCAAGCCUGAUCCAGCCAUGCCGCGUGCAGGAUGACGGUCCUAUGGAUUGUAAACUGCUUUUAUACGAGAAGAAACACUACUUCGUGAAGUAGCUUGACGGUAUCGUAAGAAUAAGGAUCGGCUAACUCCGUGCCAGCAGCCGCGGUAAUACGGAGGAUCCAAGCGUUAUCCGGAAUCAUUGGGUUUAAAGGGUCCGUAGGCGGUUUAAUAAGUCAGUGGUGAAAGCCCAUCGCUCAACGGUGGAACGGCCAUUGAUACUGUUAGACUUGAAUUAUUAGGAAGUAACUAGAAUAUGUAGUGUAGCGGUGAAAUGCUUAGAGAUUACAUGGAAUACCAAUUGCGAGGCAGGUUACUACUAAUUGAUUGACGCUGAUGGACGAAAGCGUGGGUAGCGAACAGGAUUAGAUACCCUGGUAGUCCACGCCGUAAACGAUGGAUACUAGCUGUUGGGAGCAAUCUCAGUGGCUAAGCGAAAGUGAUAAGUAUCC